CUCUCUCUCCUCCCAGCUGCAACGAUAUUGAGGUACCAGAAGAUGGACCUGAACUGAAUGGUAACCAUCAUAACAAUCCUACAAUCCAAGAAUCCUGUUCGUUCCUGAAGACCCGGCUGCCGUUCUAAUUACAUCGCUGUGAGCUCAUCACUGAACACCCGGCCUGUUGCCACGACAGCCUGGAAAGAGAACAACUAUCCUGUUUGGAUUGACUGAGAGGAGAGGAGGGACGUUUAAAAGAUGGAGAGGAGAGGAGGGACGUUUAAAAGAUGGAGAGGAGAGGAGGGACGUUUAAAAGAUGGAGAG